GUAGAGGACUUCUGCACUGUUGUUGCUAUUUCUCUCCUUUACUUUAAGGAGGCUGGAGGGGAAUGCCUUGAUGAGCAGAAGAAAAUGCUUAUUGGCCUAAAAGAUCAUUUAUCAGCGUUUGCAGAAAACCUGUGCAAAUUCGUGUGCUGCUGCAAGCAUCAUGCCUAGGAAAGGGGCUAGAGGAUGUAGGAGAAGAAAUGGAAGCUUGAAAAGAUCUGAAUUAUAGUGGAAAAUACAAAUGAAAUCUUACCUGAAAGGAAAAGGCAAGAAAUCACCCAAACUUUUUUAAGCAUCAAAGAAACUCUCAUCAAGUUCAGGCGUAAUCUGAAAGGCAAAAGGCAAUAUUGAUUGCCAUCUGCAAUAUGAUGGUGGUGUGCACAACUGAAAACCAGAAUCAAUUACCAUGCUGGUUUGCAACAGCUGACGCGGAGCUUCCAUUUCAAGUUUAGAGCAUACUGGAGUCACUGAAGUGCUCAAGUGACAGUGAGGAAAAUGGAGGUACAGAAUUCAGUUUCAAUGAAGGUAUCAGGAAUUCUUCAGUAAGGCAUCCAUAGAUGGCACACAAAAGAAAAAGAAAACUGUCUCACCGAGAUAGGAGUCUGAUGAAAAUAACCUCCCAGACACACAAACUGAAUGAAGAGGAUCUGAGCUCUACUUUUGGUUCAGAUACUGAAACCAUGCGGAGAAAAGUGCUAUACUUUUGGUUUUCCGUUUCUCCUUUGCCAUGUCCGUUUGGAGUGAUUUCCUCACUGAACAGAGGUCUGUCAGUGUGUCCAUGAUCAGGUUAUUGGUAUCCAGAUACAUAAACUGUGGCACAAGACUUCAAGUGAAAGAAGGGAGACUAUUCAAGUCUGACAAGACACAACAUUCUGGUUGCAUGUGGCCUGAAUAGAGCAACUUGAAAUCACUGUAAUUGGAAGUAUUUUGUUAGACUCUUGUGAGAUAAAGAAAUGUAAAAGGACAUUUUUAAUUAUAAACUUAAACUUUGUAUAUAUGAACUGCCCUUCUCUCGAGAAUGAUAAUUUCUGCAAAAGAAAAAAACAAAGCAAACCAAAAUAAAACAACAGCCAAAUGAAAGGGAAAAAAAUCCUAUAUGUCAUCU